UGGGGAAUUUUGGACAAUGGGGGAAACCCUGAUCCAGCCAUCCCGCGUGUGCGAUGAAGGCCUUCGGGUUGUAAAGCACUUUUGGCAGGAAAGAAACGUCGCGGGUUAAUACCCCGCGAAACUGACGGUACCUGCAGAAUAAGCACCGGCUAACUACGUGCCAGCAGCCGCGGUAAUACGUAGGGUGCAAGCGUUAAUCGGAAUUACUGGGCGUAAAGCGUGCGCAGGCGGUCCGGAAAGAAAGAUGUGAAAUCCCAGAGCUUAACUUUGGAACUGCAUUUUUAACUACCGGGCUAGAGUGUGUCAGAGGGAGGUGGAAUUCCGCGUGUAGCAGUGAAAUGCGUAGAUAUGCGGAGGAACACCGAUGGCGAAGGCAGCCUCCUGGGAUAACACUGACGCUCAUGCACGAAAGCGUGGGGAGCAAACAGGAUUAGAUACCCUGGUAGUCCACGCCCUAAACGAUGUCAACUAGCUGUUGGGGCCUUCGGGCCUUGGUAGCGCAGCUAACGCGUGAAGUUGACCGCCUGGGGAGUACGGUC
rnacentral:rRNA from 1 species